rnacentral:rRNA from 1 species
UGGGGAAUUUUCCGCAAUGGGCGAAAGCCUGACGGAGCAAUACCGCGUGAGGGAGGAAGGCUCUUGGGUUGUAAACCUCUUUUCUCAGGGAAUAAAAAAAUGAAGGUACCUGAGGAAUAAGCAUCGGCUAACUCCGUGCCAGCAGCCGCGGUAAUACGGAGGAUGCAAGCGUUAUCCGGAAUGAUUGGGCGUAAAGCGUCCGCAGGUGGCACUGUAAGUCUGCUGUUAAAGAGCAAGGCUCAACCUUGUAAAGGCAGUGGAAACUACAGAGCUAGAGUACGUUCGGGGCAGAGGGAAUUCCUGGUGUAGCGGUGAAAUGCGUAGAGAUCAGGAAGAACACCGGUGGCGAAAGCGCUCUGCUAGGCCGUAACUGACACUGAGGGACGAAAGCUAGGGGAGCGAAUGGG